ensembl:lincRNA Gm43253 predicted gene 43253
ACUGUCUGCUCCUUCUCAAGUCAAUUCUGCAGGCACAGGUCUGAGCUUUCUUCCAUUUCUCCCUUUGUUCCAUGUGAUUUAAUGGGUUUAAGUGAUGGUCAUCAACUUCCCUAACCGAUUUCCUGCCCAGGUGUGGUUUGUCUAAGUGAACAUCAGAAAUCCUGGAUCUGUUGUCAAUGAAGUCAAUAGUUGGGCUAGUUUGGAUGUUAAAAAAAAUGAGCAAAGGCUUCCUGCAAACUUUGGCAAAAGAAACUUUUUCUGAUGCUUGAGAGAGAGCCAGUUAAUUUCUCUGUCACUCUCUCCCUCUCUCUCUCUCUUUUUCCAACACUCAAUGGCAGAGAUAAGAGAGUUGCCACACACAUGCCAGGACUCCACUCACUUUUGCUACUUUGUUCACCAUCUAAGAUCCAAAUGUAAGGAAUGGUAUUGCCCAUGGUAGGCUGGGUUUUCCCAUGUCAAUCAACACACUCAGUGCCAUCCCCAGUAGACACGCCCACAGGGCAUCCUGAUGUAGACAGUCUCUUCUGGUGACUUUCCUCCCUUGGGAUUCUAGAUUAUGUGAAGAUGACAGUUGAAACUUUCACAAUACCUUACUGUUACUCAUAUUAUCUAUGGACAUUCGUCAGUGUGUGUCAGGAAAGGUUGCCUGGUCAUUUUAGCUACCCUAACAUCAGAAACUUAGGAACCUUUAACAGUCUCACAAAACUUGCCUCACUAAUAUCUACUACAUCAUAAUUUCAAGAUUGUGGUCUGAGAAAUAAGGUUUGGACAAUUCUAUCGUAUGGUGAUUUGAGGUCGCCCUUUGAGUUGGGUGUCUUUUAUCCACAGUGGAGACUCUGAGGGAAACUGGACAUUCAGCCCUACCUAUGUACGCAGAGAAGAUGGUAGGCUGCAAACCUCUAAGGAAGGCAGUAGGGGCCUCUGUGGUUUUCUCGUCUCUCGUUCAAUGUUAUCACUACUUUAAACCUAAAGUUAUUUUGAUUGUAAUUCAUUGUGUCUUGAGAAUUCUUUCUGUCAUCUCAUGAAUCAUAAAAGCUAAGACAAGUGAGCAGUAUGUUGAUAAGAAAGUUGCAAAUAACCCUGUGAUUUGCAGACAAUAUAAGUUUCGCUUUUUGCUUCUUUUUCAGGAGGGGCAGCAUGGAAGGAGCUAGGGUCUCAUUGUAUAACCUUAGUAGGUCUGGAGUGCACUAGGUAGGCCAGGGUGGCCUUGAACUUGUAGCCAUUCUCUUGUCUCUUGCCUUUGUUUCCCAAGCGCUGAGAUUACAGGAAUGUGACAUUACACUCAGCUUGGUUUUCUGCUUCCUUUUCAAGGGACCUUGAAAGUUUGACAAAAACUUGAAGGUUAAAAAUCUUUAUUCCUAAGCAAUGAUGAGAUCAGCUUCUGUUCUCACAGUUGAAACCAAAAGAAAUGAUCUACUUUUGUUAAAUACCACAGUUACUUUAACAAAAAAACAAAACAAGCAAACAAACAAAACCACUCCUCAGGAUUUCAUGGAGGCUUUUUUGUAAUUGAUCAAAUAUAAUGGUAUUACAAAUAUUAUUUGUCCCUUCCAAUAUUUUUCUCAUUAGCAAUUAAUAAUUUAUUGGAUACCUGCUGUUUACCACACCUUUUUACUGGGCGAUGUUAGACUGAUGACCUCUGCCAUAACUUCUUAUGGCCCUUGAAUGGUGAAUUGUCAAGUAUCCGAGAAAUAUGCUGUAGGCCGCACUCUCAACUUGCUGAGGAAGUAGCCUUCAUGGUCUGCCAACUCGUUAUUGUGUCUCGUGGCCUCGCAGAGUCCGAUGCAGCAUGUGGGCUCUGCCUGCACCCAAUCUUAGCAAAUGGAGAAAAGAGCAAGAAUAUCUAUGACCGUGGUGGUCAGGUAAAACCUGACAGUGAGACUGCGUUGGCUACAGAAACAAACAGAGCCCUGCUCAGACCCUAAGAAACCCACAGCAGUAAACAGAAAAUGACUGCAAAGGAGCCUUCUGGGAGGGACUGACUCUCACCUGUGAUGGGCAGCUACGCAGGCACCAUCAACGGAGACGUGAGUCACUCGAUGGGCGAGGGACUGAGUUUCCAGUCUUCCAGUGUGCGGUACUUUAAAUACAAUAUUUAGGAAACUUCACUGUGGGAGAACUAAAGGCGGGCGUUUUUAAGUGUGUAGCAAAUGAAGUGGAUAAUUUGAGGACAUUUUUGACAUUAUUCCAUGCCAAGAUAUUCAGAGAUGACUUGAUGACAACAAGUUCCCUUCUCUCUCCCUCCCUCUUUUCCUUUCCUUCCUUUCUCACUCUAGGGAGAGACCCCUGAGUCUUAUACAUGCCGGGACAGCGCUUCUACUGAGCCUCCCCCAAUCACUGAAAUGAGUCUUAUAAAGCACCGGAAGAGCAGGAGCGCCACGGGUGGGUCUUACGUCACAGACCCUAUGACAAGAAAAUGGGUUACGCAGCAUUUGCGCAUCCAUCUGUGAAGGUGGCUGGCGGUUAGGCUCCUCUACAACUUUCCCAAGUGUCAUCAAGUUUACCUAUGACGACUUGGGUGUGCUUGUGAACUUUCAGCUUUGAACAUGGGGGCUCCCAGGAAGGAGCAGAAGCGGACAUGGAAGGAGGAGAGAGGAAGGCGGAAGUGAUGUGAUUAUAUUUUAAUUAAAAUGUAUUAAAGAUAAAACUA